AUCUCUGGUGGACCGGUUGUCAUGCCAAUGGCAUAGCCGGGUAGCUAAAUACGGAAGAGAUAAACGCUGAAAGCAUCUAAGCGUGAAACUCGCCUUGAGAUGAGAUUUCCCUGGGGGUUUAACCCCCCUAAAGAGUCGUUCGAGACCAGGACGUUGAUAGGACGGAUGUGGAAGUGCAGUAAUGCAUUAAGCUGACCGUUACUAAUUGCUCGUGAGGCUUGAUCCU
rnacentral:rRNA from 1 species